rnacentral:miRNA from 1 species
CUGUGUUCCUCACACUGUCACAUGAAGUAGAUGUGAAUUGUCACCGAUGUGUGCGUUCAG